UACGUAGGGGGCUAGCGUUGUCCGGAUUUAUUGGGCGUAAAGAGCGUGUAGGCGGCCAGGUAGGUCUGCUGUGAAAACUCGAGGCUCAACCUCGAGACGUCGGCGGAAACCAUCUGGCUAGAGUCCGGAAGAGGAGAGUGGAAUUCCUGGUGUAGCGGUGAAAUGCGCAGAUAUCAGGAGGAACACCGGUGGCGAAGGCGGGUCUCUGGACCGAUACUGACGCUGAGGAGCGAAAGCGUGGGGAGCGAACAGG
rnacentral:rRNA from 1 species